rnacentral:rRNA from 1 species
AACGAACGCUGGCGGCAGGCUUAACACAUGCAAGUCGAACGCCCCGCAAGGGGAGUGGCAGACGGGUGAGUAACGCGUGGGAACAUACCCUUUUCUACGGAAUAGCUCUGGGAAACUGGAAUUAAUACCGUAUACGCCCUACGGGGGAAAGAUUUAUCGGGGAAGGAUUGGCCCGCGUUGGAUUAGCUAGUUGGUGGGGUAAGGCCUACCAAGGCGACGAUCCAUAGCUGGUCUGAGAGGAUGAUCAGCCACAUUGGGACUGAGACACGGCCCAAACUCCUACGGGAGGCAGCAGUGGGGAAUAUUGGACAAUGGGCGCAAGCCUGAUCCAGCCAUGCCGCGUGAGUGAUGAAGGCCUUAGGGUUGUAAAGCUCUUUCACCGAUGAAGAUAAUGACGGUAGUCGGAGAAGAAGCCCCGGCUAACUUCGUGCCAGCCGCCGCGGUAAUAC